UACGAAGGGGGCGAGCGUUGUUCGGAUUUACUGGGCGUAAAGAGCUCGUAGGCGGUGUGUCGCGUCGGCCGUGAAAACCUGCAGCUUAACUGUGGGCUUGCGGUCGAUACGGGCAUCACUGGAGUUCGGCAGGGGAGACUGGAAUUCCUGGUGUAGCGGUGAAAUGCGCAGAUAUCAGGAGGAACACCGGUGGCGAAGGCGGGUCUCUGGGCCGAUACUGACGCUGAGGAGCGAAAGCGUGGGGAGCGAACAGG
rnacentral:rRNA from 1 species